rnacentral:rRNA from 1 species
UACGUAGGGCGCAAGCGUUGUCCGGAAUUAUUGGGCGUAAAGAGCUCGUAGGCGGUCUGUCGCGUCUGCUGUGAAAACUCAGGGCUUAACCCUGAGCUUGCAGUGGGUACGGGCAGACUAGAGUGCGGUAGGGGAGACUGGAAUUCCUGGUGUAGCGGUGAAAUGCGCAGAUAUCAGGAGGAACACCGGUGGCGAAGGCGGGUCUCUGGGCCGUAACUGACGCUGAGGAGCGAAAGCAUGGGGAGCGAGCAGG